UAUUGAUUCUCGAGUGCCAAAUCAACACAAAUGGAUAAUAAAAGGUCUAAGCCAUCAGGUGCCCAGUUUAGGAAAAAGAGGAAAGAAGAAGAGGAGAAACACGUAAAAGAUAAAGGAUGAGGAGCCAUCACCUCUUCAGCCACACAGGCCUCUUCAGAAAUUAUCUUGGUGCCUCUGGAUGAGGAGCCAUCACCUCCUCAGUCACACAGGUGUAUUCACAAAUGUUGUCUGAGCCUGAGGAUGAAGACCCAUUUGCUUCCACUUCUCCCCAGCAGGAUUCUUCAGAAAUGCCUGUACUGUAGCAGCAUCCCACCAAAUCCUGCUGCUGAGGAUGGAUGAAACAAUGUCUACAGACCCUGCUGCUGAGGAUGAACCACUGUCUACAGACCCUGCUGCUGAGGAUGAACCACUGUCUACAGACCCUGCUGCUGAGGUUGAACCACUGUCUACAGACCCUGCUGACUAGCCUUCAGUACUGACUGAUUCGGACACAACUAGUUUGUAGUGGACCAAGUGAGGUACCACCUACCCCAAUGAAUGAGAGUGUUGGAAGAAGUUGCCACCACCAGUAUUUCAGGUAGACCUUGGUGAGUGGUGAAAUAAUCCCUAGAAGUUGUUUGGUGUAUUCUGAAAGAAACAAAAGCCUCUUCUGCUUCUGCUGCAAACUGUUUUCUAAGAAGAAAAUUAAAUUAUCAAACUCAGGACUGACAGACUGGAAACAUGCACGUUCUUUGCUGACUUCACACGACAACAGUCCAGAAAACCAAAACUACGUGAAAACAUGGAAAGAACUGGCAAUGAGGAUCAAAAAUGGGGAAAGAUUGAGAAGCAUGAGAUAGCACUUAUGGAGGCUGAGAGGAUAAGAUAGAGAGAGGUGUUGACACGUCUGACUGCUAUUGUGCAGUCUCCGGCAAUUAGAAAUCUGGCACUAAGGGGACACACAAACACUGUACUCUCCAGUUAAUGGACAUUUCCUUGAACUGAUGGCACAAUUUGAUCCAGUCAUGAAAGCGCACCUUAACCGUUUCCAAAAAGGGACCUCGAGUCACACCACCAGCUACCUUGGCCACCAAAUACAGAAUGAAUUCAUUGAUUUGUUGAGCAGCAAGGUCAUUUCAAUAAUGGUGAGUGACAUCAAGCUGGCAAAAUGAUUCUCUCUCAUUCUAGAUUGCACCUCAGGAGCCCCACGUAAAGGCACAUGUUAUGGGGGUUUUGGGAGCAGAGGAGUCCACGUGCCAACAUUUCACAUCCCUGAUUCUCAAAAGAUUAGAGGAGCUAAAAAUUCCUUUUGAGGACUGCAGAGGACAGUCUUAUGAUAAUGGGGCCAACAUGAGAGGCAAAAAACAAAGGUGUCCAAGCCAGACUCCUGGAAAUGAAUCCAAGAGCUCUAUUUGUGCCAUGUGGGGCUCACACAUUGGACCUGGUUGUGGCUGAUGCUGCUAAAAGCUCUGUCGAUGCCACUUUGGCAUCUUAUACAAACUGUACGCCUUGUUCUCAGCCUCCACACAAGAGCUCUAUUUGUGCCAUGUGGGGCUCACACAUUGGACCUGGUUGUGGCUGAUGCUGCUAAAAGCUCUGUCGAUGCCACUUUGGCAUCUUAUACAAACUGUACGCCUUGUUCUCAGCCUCCACACAGCGAUGGGCCAUCCUGAAAAAACAUGUGGACAUCACUUUGAAGAUGUGGACUGAGACACGGUGGGAGAGUAAAGAGUGGUGGGAGAGUAAAGAGUGUCGAGCCACAGAGGUAUCAGGCAGCAGCGGUGAGAGAGGCCCUGAUUGAGGUGAAGGAUCAAACCUGCGAUAAAGACCCUGCGAUAAAGAUUGAGGCCCAGUCCUUGUCAGCUUCAGCAUCUGUACAAUGGUGUGGUAUGACAUCUUGAUCCAGAUCCAACAUGUAAGCAAGCUGAUGCAGUCUCACAGUAUGAAUGUGGAUGUUGCAGUCAGUCCUCUCAGAAAGACAGAGAGAGGUCUCAUCAACUACAGGGCAACAGGCUUUGCGACUGCACAAGCGACAGCCAAGGAUAUUUGCGAGAGUAUGAAUGUAGAGGCCGUUCUACAACACAAAAGGCUGAAGUCCACAAAGUGGCACUUUUCAUACGAAUCAUUUGAUGGGCCUUUGAGUGAUGCCCUGAAGAAGCUGGAGAUUACAUUUUUCAUUGUCGUUGUUGAUGCUGCAACCUCAGCCCUUCAGGAAAGAUUUUCCACAUUGGAAAAUGUGGGAGAGAAGUUUGGAGUGCUGUCAACCUUCCAAAGUCUCUCAAAUGAGGAGCUGACAGAAAAAUGUGAGGCCCUUAGUGUGACACUGCACUAUAAAGAACACUCAGGAUGGCAGAGAGCUUGCAGAGGAACUGAAGAACUUGCCUGACUUGCCAUCGAAGACCAUGACCCUGCUUGAGCUGCUGAUAUUUAUAGAAGAAUGGGAGCUCUCGGAAAUGUAUCCAAAUUUGUGGACUGCUCUCAGAAUUAGUCUUACUCUUCCAGUGACUGUAGCUGAAGCAGUGAGGAGCUUUUCAAAGCUGAAGCUCCUCAAAUCCUACCUGAGGUCCACCAUGUCACAGGAACACCUCAGUAGCCUUGCUGUCAUCAGUAUUAACCAUGCAAUUGCUGGGCAGAUUUGUUGUGAUGAUAUAAUUGAUGACUUUGCAUCAGGGAAGGCAAGAAAGGUCAGGGUUUUGAUGGCAGUUGCGCAAUUUAGUUUGUGUGUUUCUUGUUUGAAGUGCAAUAGUGUAAUAAUCAGGUUCUCUUCUGUAUAAGUGUGUUAUUCUAUUUGUGUAUUUGUAUGAUAUAGGAAUUGUGCAAUUUUGGUUUAGUUGUGUUUUUUGUUUGCAUUAGGGUAAUAGUGUAAUAAUUCAAUUCCCAUUUUUAUUUAAAUGUAUAAACUACAAGUCUUUGUGACUUCUUGUUGAUGUUUUUAUAUUUAGUCUUAUUUGUAUUUAUAUAGUUUUAAAUGUUCUGAUUAUUUACAGUUAGUGACAAAUGGUGCUUUUUUUUUGGGGGGGGGGGUGCUGAAGGGAGGUUCGACCAGGGAGCCAUAUAAGCUAGAACCGCCACUACCUGCAAGAACCCUCACCGACUAAGGGGGGUUCCUCGAUGAACCCCACCUCCUAUGGUGUUCCCGGAAUAACAUUUUGGGGGCCAUUUUCAAUACCAAGAAACCUAAGGUUCUUUGAGGAAAUUUGAGGAUCUUAGAAGAACCCUUGUUGAACCCCUAAUCUUUUGCGUGUAGGCCUAUUCGAGUACUUGAAUUUCUGAGCUCCAAAUUCAGAAAGGCUAUUUUCGAGCCCCUUGUAAUUGUUUAAA